rnacentral:rRNA from 1 species
CGCGCCACACCGCGUGGGUGAAGAAGGAUUUUCGGAUAGUAAAGCUCUGUUGAAAGAGAAGAACGGGUGUGAGAGUGGAAAGUUCACACUGUGACGGUAUCUUACCUGAAAGGGACGGCUAACUACGUGCCAGCAGCCGCGGUAAUACGUAGGUCCCGAGCGUUGUCCGGAUUUAUUGGGCGUAAAGCGAGCGCAGGCGGUUAGAUAAGUCUUAAGUUAAAGGCUGUGGCUCAACCAUAGUUCGCUUUGGAAACUGUCAAACUUGAGUGCAGAAGGGGAGAGUGGAAUUCCAUGUGUAGCGGUGAAAUGAGUAGACAUAUGGAGGAACACCGGUGGCGAAAGCGCCUGUUUGGUCUGUAACUGACGGUGAGGCUUGAAAGCGUGGGUAGCAAACAGG